GACAGGAUGGCCGAGUGGUUAAGGCGGCAGUUUUGAAUGCAUAUCGCAUAGGUGUUAUAAACCACAUUAGCUGCUUCACUUUGUGAGCGUGAGUUCAAACCUCACUCCUGUCG